rnacentral:tRNA from 1 species
GGGCCCGUAGCUCAGUUGGUAGAGCAGCGGACUUUUAAUCCGUAGGUCGAAGGUUCGAAUCCUUCCGGGCUCA